UACGUAGGGGGCGAGCGUUGUCCGGAAUCAUUGGGCGUAAAGCGCGUGUAGGCGGUCCGGUAAGUCCGCUGUGAAAGUCGGGGGGCUCAACCCUCGGAUGCCGGUGGAUACUGUCGGGCUUGAGUACGGAAGAGGCGAGUGGAAUUCCGUGGUGUAGCGGUGAAAAUGCGCAGAUAUCAGGAGGAACACCAAUUGCGAAGGCAGCUCGCUGGGACGUUACUGACGCUGAGACGCGAAAGCGUGGGGAGCAAACAGG
rnacentral:rRNA from 1 species